ACGCGCGAAACCUUACCAAGUCUUGACAUACUGUGAGGGACACAAGAGAUUGUGUUGUUCUGACCUUUGGUUAGACACAGAUACAGGUGGUGCAUGGUUGUCGUCAGCUCGUGUCGUGAGAUGUUGGGUUAAGUCCCGCAACGAAGCGCAACCCCCCUAUGUCUAGUUGCCAGCAGUAAGAUGGGGACUCUAGACAGACUGCCAGUGAUAAACUGGAGGAAGGCGGGAUGACGUCAAAUCAUCAUGCCCC
rnacentral:rRNA from 1 species